UGYCAGACGGCGUGCCUAUAAUGCAAGUCGAACGAACUCUGGUAUUAGGUGCUUGCACUUGAAUGAUUUAACAUUGAGACGAGUGGCGAACUGGUGAGUAACACGUGGGUAACCUGCCCUUGAAGUAGGGGAUAACACUUGGAAACAGGUGCUAAUACCGUAUAACAACCAAAACCACCUGGUUUUGGUUUAAAAGACGGCUUCGGCUGUCACUUUUGGAUGGUCCCGCGGCGUAUUAGCUAGAUGGUGGGGUAACGGCUCACCAUGGCAAUGAUACGUAGCCGACCUGAGAGGGUAAUCGGCCACAUUGGGACUGAGACACGGCCCAAACUCCUACGGGAGGCAGCAGUAGGGAAUCUUCCACAAUGGACGAAAGUCUGAUGGAGCAACGCCGCGUGAGUGAAGAAGGGUUUCGGCUCGUAAAACUCUGUUGUUAAAGAAGAACAUAUCUGAGAGUAACUGUUGACAUCUUGACGGUAUCCAACCAGAAAGCCACGGCUAACUACGUGCCAGCAGCCGCGGUAAUACGUAGGUGGCAAGCGUUGUCCGGAUUUAUUGGGCGUAAAGCGAGCGCAGGCGGUUUUUUAGGUCUGAUGUGAAAGCCUUCGGCUUAACCGGAGAAGUGCAUCGGAAACCGGGAGACUUGAGUGCAGAAGAGGACAGUGGAACUCCAUGUGUAGCGGUGAAAUGCGUAGAUAUAUGGAAGAACACCAGUGGCGAAGGCGGCUGUCUGGUCUGUAACUGACGCUGAGCUCGAAAGCAUGGGUAGCGAACAGGAUUAGAUACCCUGGUAGUCCAUGCCGUAAACGAUGAGUGCUAAGUGUUGGAGGGUUUCCGCCCUUCAGUGCUGCAGCUAACGCAUUAAGCACUCCGCCUGGGGAGUACGACCGCAAGUUGAAACUCAAAGGAAUUGACGGGGGCCCGCACAGCGUGAGCAUGUGGUUUAAUCGAUGCUACGCGAAGAACUACAGUCUGAUCU
rnacentral:rRNA from 1 species